AAGACUAUACUUUCAGGGAUCAUUUCUAUAGUUUGUAACUGGUGAAAUGUGCUCGAAAGUGUCAAACUCAGUAACCACGAUGAGGAGCUUCAGUGUUCUCUCCUGAGCGUGAAAAGUGUGCUCGGUGCUGCUUUACUGUAGCUGCCUUGUACAGUUGAUGAUCGUUCUUCUCUUCUACAUGGAGAGGUGGAGGGAGAGAACACAAGCUGAGUGGU
rnacentral:snoRNA from 1 species